CACGCCGUAAACGAUGUCGACUUGGAGGUUGUGCCCUUGAGGCGUGGCUUCCGGAGCUAACGCGUUAAGUCGACCGCCUGGGGAGUACGGCCGCAAGGUUAAAACUCAAAUGAAUUGACGGGGGCCCGCACAAGCGGUGGAGCAUGUGGUUUAAUUCGAUGCAACGCGAAGAACCUUACCUACUCUUGACAUCCAGAGAAUUUAGCAGAGAUGCUUUAGUGCCUUCGGGAACUCUGAGACAGGUGC
rnacentral:rRNA from 1 species